AAACGAGAAAGGCAAAGCUACUGAAAAGUAGUGACGCAAAGCUGUGGGCCUAAGGUUAAUACUAUGGUUGCCAAGCUACCGAA
rnacentral:ncRNA from 1 species